rnacentral:rRNA from 1 species
GGUUAAGCGACUAAGCGUACACGGUGGAUGCCCUGGCAGUCAGAGGCGAUGAAGGACGUGCUAAUCUGCGAAAAGCGUCGGUAAGGUGAUAUGAACCGUUAUAACCGGCGAUGUCCGAAUGGGGAAACCCAGUGCAAUUCGUUGCACUAUCGUUAACUGAAUACAUAGGUUAACGAGGCGAACCGGGGGAACUGAAACAUCUAAGUACCCCGAGGAAAAGAAAUCAACCGAGAUUCCCCCAGUAGCGGCGAGCGAACGGGGAGCAGCCCAGAGUCUGAAUCAGCUUGUGUGUUAGUGGAACGGUCUGGAAAGUCCGACGGUACAGGGUGAUAGUCCCGUACACCAAAAUGCACAGGCUGUGAACUCGAAGAGUAGGGCGGGACACGUGGUAUCCUGUCUGAAUAUGGGGGGACCAUCCUCCAAGGCUAAAUACUCCUGACUGACCGAUAGUAAACCAGUACCGUGAGGGAAAGGCGAAAAGAACCCCGGCGAGGGAGUGAAAAAGAACCUGAAACCGUGUACGUACAAGCAGUGGGAGCACCUUCGGGUGUGACUGCGUACCUUUUGUAUAAUGGGUCAGCGACUUAUAUUCUGUAGCAAGGUUAACCGUAUAGGGGAGCCGCAGGGAAACCGAGUCUUAACUGGGCGUUAAGUUGCAGGGUAUAGACCCGAAACCCGGUGAUCUAGCCAUGGGCAGGUUGAAGGUUGGGUAACACUAACUGGAGGACCGAACCGACUAAUGUUGAAAAAUUAGCGGAUGACUUGUGGCUGGGGGUGAAAGGCCAAUCAAACCGGGAGAUAGCUGGUUCUCCCCGAAAGCUAUUUAGGUAGCGCCUCGUGAAUUCAUCUUCGGGGGUAGAGCACUGUUUCGGCUAGGGGGUCAUCCCGACUUACCAACCCGAUGCAAACUACGAAUACCGAAGAAUGUUAUCACGGGAGACACACGGCGGGUGCUAACGUCCGUCGUGAAGAGGGAAACAACCCAGACCGCCAGCUAAGGUCCCAAAGUCAUGGUUAAGUGGGAAACGAUGUGGGAAGGCACAGACAGCCAGGAUGUUGGCUUAGAAGCAGCCAUCAUUUAAAGAAAGCGUAAUAGCUCACUGGUCGAGUCGGCCUGCGCGGAAGAUGUAACGGGGCUAAACCAUGCACCGAAGCUGCGGCAGCGACACUAUGUGUUGUUGGGUAGGGGAGCGUUCUGUAAGCCUGCGAAGGUGACCUGUGAGGGUUGCUGGAGGUAUCAGAAGUGCGAAUGCUGACAUAAGUAACGAUAAAGCGGGUGAAAAGCCCGCUCGCCGGAAGACCAAGGGUUCCUGUCCAACGUUAAUCGGGGCAGGGUGAGUCGACCCCUAAGGCGAGGCCGAAAGGCGUAGUCGAUGGGAAACAGGUUAAUAUUCCUGUACUUGGUGUUACUGCGAAGGGGGGACGGAGAAGGCUAUGUUAGCCGGGCGACGGUUGUCCCGGUUUAAGCAUGUAGGCUGGUUGUCCAGGCAAAUCCGGAUAAUCAAGGCUGAGGUGUGAUGACGAGGCACUACGGUGCUGAAGUAACAAAUGCCCUGCUUCCAGGAAAAGCCUCUAAGCAUCAGGUAACAUUAAAUCGUACCCCAAACCGACACAGGUGGUCAGGUAGAGAAUACCAAGGCGCUUGAGAGAACUCGGGUGAAGGAACUAGGCAAAAUGGUGCCGUAACUUCGGGAGAAGGCACGCUGGUGUGUAGGUGAAGUCCCUGCGGAUGGAGCUGAGACCAGUCGAAGAUACCAGCUGGCUGCAACUGUUUAUUAAAAACACAGCACUGUGCAAACACGAAAGUGGACGUAUACGGUGUGACGCCUGCCCGGUGCCGGAAGGUUAAUUGAUGGGGUUAUCCGUAAGGAGAAGCUCUUGAUCGAAGCCCCGGUAAACGGCGGCCGUAACUAUAACGGUCCUAAGGUAGCGAAAUUCCUUGUCGGGUAAGUUCCGACCUGCACGAAUGGCGUAAUGAUGGCCAGGCUGUCUCCACCCGAGACUCAGUGAAAUUGAACUCGCUGUGAAGAUGCAGUGUACCCGCGGCAAGACGGAAAGACCCCGUGAACCUUUACUAUAGCUUGACACUGAACAUUGAGCCUUGAUGUGUAGGAUAGGUGGGAGGCUUUGAAGCGUGGACGCCAGUCUGCGUGGAGCCAACCUUGAAAUACCACCCUUUAAUGUUUGAUGUUCUAACGUUGGCCCCUGACCGGGGUUGCGGACAGUGUCUGGUGGGUAGUUUGACUGGGGCGGUCUCCUCCCAAAGCGUAACGGAGGAGCACGAAGGUUAGCUAAUCCUGGUCGGACAUCAGGAGGUUAGUGCAAUGGCAUAAGCUAGCUUGACUGCGAGCGUGACGGCGCGAGCAGGUGCGAAAGCAGGUCAUAGUGAUCCGGUGGUUCUGAAUGGAAGGGCCAUCGCUCAACGGAUAAAAGGUACUCCGGGGAUAACAGGCUGAUACCGCCCAAGAGUUCAUAUCGACGGCGGUGUUUGGCACCUCGAUGUCGGCUCAUCACAUCCUGGGGCUGAAGUAGGUCCCAAGGGUAUGGCUGUUCGCCAUUUAAAGUGGUACGCGAGCUGGGUUUAGAACGUCGUGAGACAGUUCGGUCCCUAUCUGCCGUGGGCGCUGGAGAAUUGAGGGGGGCUGCUCCUAGUACGAGAGGACCGGAGUGGACGCAUCACUGGUGUUCGGGUUGUCAUGCCAAUGGCACUGCCCGGUAGCUAAAUGCGGAAGAGAUAAGUGCUGAAAGCAUCUAAGCACGAAACUUGCCCCGAGAUGAGUUCUCCCUGAGACUUUAAGUCUCCUGAAGGAACGUUGAAGACGACGACGUUGAUAGGCCGGGUGUGUAAGCGCAGCGAUGCGUUGAGCUAACCGGUACUAAUGAACCGUGAGGCUUAACCUU